rnacentral:lncRNA from 1 species
AAUACGGGAAAGCAGAGAGAAAGCAGAGAGAAAGAAUUACCAGGAACAUUAAUGGAAAGCCAAAUCCAUAUUGAAAGAGAAAUAUACUCAUUUAAAUGCGAAUAGGAGAGCACAAAGCAGCAAUAUUACCAUUUAGUCAUUUGCACCAAGUAUCCAAGAUACGUGCAAAAUUUAGAGAAAACAACAAUGAACAAACUAGACCCAAAAUCUAGCCUAUAUGAUAGUACUUAACAUUUUACUGGAUAAAUUAGGCAUACCUUUGUUCUAAAGAAGUGCGCCACUUCCUGCAUCAAUUCCAGCAUCAUCAUAGGUGUGUACCGGCAGAAAAAGAAAACCAAAACCCCAAAAAUUAUACCUAAACCCAUCAAAACCCAAAAAGUGCAUCUAAAAAUCAAAAUUUGAAAAUUAUCCAAUGACUGACCUAAACUGAAUGUGUAAAAUUGUCGUUGGAAUUUUCUCUGCUCCCCUUUCUGUAUGAACCGUAAAUUUUUGCAAGGGAUGAAUAUUGAUGGAGUCGUAUGUGUGCAAAGUGCAAACCUGUGUAUGUUUUAGUCUCCACUUCUCCAACUUCUCUCUCAGUUACCACAAAUUUUCUCUUUGCACGAACAGGGCUAGCUGGUAUACGUAGAGGAAAACUAAACUGCUCUUGCAUAUGGAUCAAUCAACUGAUAAUAACGGCCUAUGCACAAUGUAUACGUGUGAGGGGUAAUAAACGAUAACUGCAAAUUAGUUUUUGAAGGAAACUGAAACUGUUCCACAUUCCUAAUUUACUGUUUUACCCUCUCUUUAUUAUAUUAAGCUUUUGCUAACUUAUAUCAAGAAAUGGGUAAUUCAGGGUUAUUGAAAAUUAAACCAAAUGACAGUUUCAUAAGGCAAAUUGUCUUAAUUAAUAGAGAUUAUAUUAAAGGAAAAAGUCAAUGAUCAGUCUGCAAGCUAAAGAUUUCAAGUGAUAUGGAAAUGCACGACAGCUUAUUUAUCUAAUCAGUAUUUUCCAUCUAGAGGCAGUUAUGAUUUUAACCAAAGUACAGCACCUUACUUAAAUGAGUAGCACCCAUGUCCUUGUCAAAAGGAUAUACCUAAAAAACAAUUUGUCAGUGUAAAUUGCAGAUGCAGAUAAACAUAUAAAUCUGUUUAAGUGGUGCAUGUGCAAGAAACAGGCUCAACUAAAAUCAAUGACACCAUGUGAUCGGAUCAAUUAGGUCAUCAAGGGAUUUGCCGAUCCACAAGCAUAAAGUUAGGGACCAUGGCACUUCAAGAAAAUAAGAACACCCCCGAAAAGUAAGUAAAAAUUUACAUUUUACCAUCUAUCUGUGGAAAACUUAUAUUUUGUGAGAUUUUGAGUCUAAAUAGCAAGAGUUCAACACAGUAACAUCAAACAAUAGGCCCAGUAAGGAGGUCACUUCAAAUAAAGACCUAUGGGACUUGGUUAAAUCCUCUAUAACUUGGGGAUUACAAGUUUACUCAUUCAC